GGGGAUGUAAUGGUUUCGACGGGAGUCUUGAAAAUAGAAAUAGCCAUCCGCAGGCCCGGUUAGCUGCGUCAAAAAACCGGAAACUUUUAAAAAGAAACGACAAAGAUUAUUCUUUAUUAGCAGCCUAAGCGCUGCUCGUCAGCCUUUAAUCGAUCACUGUUAAAGAAUCUGGCGCCGACUAGGUGAUGACCUUUCUGCCCUAAGCUUUGCCGGUAGAAAAGAUUUAUGAAGCUACCAAAACCUAUGGCCUGCUGUUCGGCAAUAGGUUGCGGGAAUUGCAAAAGAGCAGCUGUGAUGGGAGAAGUUUUUAUGGAUGGGCUUUCGGACAGGGGUUCGAUUCCCCUCAUCUCCAUGC
rnacentral:tmRNA from 1 species